UGUCUUCAGGGCGGGGUGAAAGUCCCCACUGGCGGUAUAGUCCGCGACCAAGCCUCUGUGGUUUGCUGACCCGGUGCAACUCCGGGACCAACGGUAAUAGUCCGGAUGGAAGAAGAUG
rnacentral:ncRNA from 1 species